UACGAAGGGGGCUAGCGUUGUUCGGAAUUACUGGGCGUAAAGCGCACGCAGGCGGCUCGAUAAAUUAGAAGUGAAAGCCCCGGGCUUAACCUGGGAAUUGCUUUUAAGACUGUCGGGCUAGAAUCCAGAAGAGGGUAGUGGAAUUCCGAGUGUAGAGGUGAAAUUCGUAGAUAUUCGGAAGGACACCAGUGGCGAAGGCGACUACCUGGUCUGGCAUUGACGCUCAUGUGCGAAAGCGUGGGGAGCAAACAGG
rnacentral:rRNA from 1 species